UACCAGCACCCCGAGUGGUCGGGACGAUUAUUGGGCCUAAAGCAUCCGUAGCCGGUCCUACAAGUCUUCCGUUAAAUCCACCUGCUUAACAGAUGGGCUGCGGAAGAUACUAUAGGGCUAGGAGGCGGGAGAGGCAAGCGGUACUCAGUGGGUAGGGGUAAAAUCCUCUGAUCCAUUGAAGACCACCAGUGGCGAAGGCGGCUUGCCAGAACGCGCUCGACGGUGAGGGAUGAAGC
rnacentral:rRNA from 1 species